AUACUUACCUGGACGGGGUCAAUGGGCGAUCAAAAAGGCCCAUGGCCUAGGCUUGUGACCUCCAUUGCACUUUGGAGGGGUGCUAGCUUAAGGUCGACCCUAGUGGUCGAGCCUACGUCAUAAUUUGUGAUAGUGGGGGCCUGCGUUCGCGCGGCCCCUGC
rnacentral:snRNA from 1 species